rnacentral:lncRNA from 1 species
GUUCUUCCGCCAGCGCCCAUCGUGAAGACCACAGUUUCCUGUCGCGUGGAUGUGUUUCCUCUCUGGCCAUUGCCAUCCGCCCAAAUCUACAGACAUCCCGCAUGUUCCCGGGCUCGUCUCCCCAAUACAGGGCACCAAGGCUGUAGACUGCGCAGCCCUCCUGGAGACAGAUGGAAGCUCCUUGGGUCGACAGAUUACAGCUUCUGGAACCCCCUACUCCCUUCAACUCCGAGAUGGACACCCACUGUCCAGGGAGAGGAUGCCUGGAAAUAACAGCUGGGAUCUACAGUGGCCAAAGAGUUGUCUCCGUCUUGCUACAUCGACAAACUGUGCCAGGAGCGACGGUACACUCCAGAGUGCUGUGCCCUGAUGGGCCUUUGAGUGGCCAGUGCAGUGGAUCAUCAGCCCUGUCUCCCAAGAGCUCCAGUCCCUUCUCCGGAGAGGAAGUGGGUCCACUGGCAGCUCAGGAGGCCAUAGCAGGAUUGUCACGUGUGCUCAACAGUCCUCCUCGGCUUUCCAGAAGAGGCUGGAACAGGGCCCUUGAAGAUGUUUGUGGACAUCAGAGGGCCAAAGACGACACAAAGUGAAACUGGAGACACCGCCCCCCCUUGGCAUCAUGAAACUGCCGAUGUUACUGGCUCAUGCAUGGGAGACACCAGCAUACAAAGUCUUGACACCAACACCUCAGAGGGCUGUGUUCUGUCCCCGUGACCAUCAUCUAGUGCCUGGAAAGACUAGUGACAAGAACUUGUUGCCAACUUCCUAUUACCUCCCUAACAGUUGUGCAAUAAACCCCAUAGGUUAAUUCA